rnacentral:lncRNA from 1 species
UUUUCCACGUAGGUUGGGAGAAGUGAUGUGGAGAUAGAGGAUUAUCCCGUGGACUUAGGAUCUAUUGUGACUCACCAGUUAGACAUGAGUUGAGUGAUCUGUCUAGUGAGCGUGGUGGGCGAUGAGAGGAGAUAUGUGUUCUCGAGGUGUAAGCAACACGGAAUGGGAUAGGAUAAGUGUGGUGAGAUCUUUUCUUAGGGUCAUUUAUGUAUGUGUUGCAUAUGUGGUUGACCGUGGUUUGAUUGACUUGGUGUUAAUCUAUG